AAUCAACGNCUGGCGGCGUGCCUAACACAUGCAAGUCGAGCGAAAAAAGGGGGGCCACUCCCUUGAGUACAGCGGCACACGGGUUGAGUAACACGUGGGUAAUCUGCCCCGAAAUGGGGAAUAACACCGGNGAAACCGGUGCUAAUACCGCAUACGAUCACGGGGUCUGCGGAUCUUGUGAUGAAAGGAGCAAUUCCCUUUACGAGGAGCCCGCCGCUGAUUAACUACUUGGUGAGGUAAUGGCUCACCAAGGCAGCGAUCAAUAUCCGGUCUGACAGGACGGACGGACACACUGGAACUGAGAGACAGUCCACACUCCUACGGGAGGCAGGAGUGGGGAAUAUAUGGCA
rnacentral:rRNA from 1 species